GAGGAACCCGGUGCGAAUCCGGGGCUGUCCCGCAACUGUGACCAGGGGAGUUCCCUCUCGAACGGGCCACGGCACCAGUGCUGGAAGGCCGAGGGGGAGCGGUGAUCCGGGAGCCAGGAGACUC
rnacentral:ncRNA from 2 species